ensembl:lncRNA
CACUGUGCCAAUGAUGUUGCCUUGUGGGAUUUUCUAGCAAUGACAGGAGAAUCUACAUAUCUUUGAGCCCAUGGGUUUCUCUUUGGUCGUGACAGCCAGAGGAAAGAGACUCCUCCCUUAUUUCCAGAGAAUGGUAAAGAAGCAUUGCCAGCCAUGUUGGCACACAGCUGGAGUGGGAGGCUGAGGCAGAAGGAUCCCCUGUGGUCCUAGUCAAAACCUUGUGGAGAACUGUACAGAAAGGCCAUCCCAAGCCUCUGCCUGCAAGACGAGGGCAGUUUUGGUCCACAGCGGGUCUCCUGGCUGGCUGUAUCCCCAUCGCUGUUAUUCACCGUUUGGCAGCAGCAGGGCAGAGAGCCCAGCUCGCCAAGAGCUUGUUGGACUCCUGAGACCUGGUGGGAGGGCAUCACUUACGUCUGGUCAAGGAAACAAGAACAUAAUAAUCAGGAGUCCCAGGAUCUUACAGGAAGCAGGAGGAGCCAAGGAAAGAAGGGGAGAGAAAGGUGAUAAAUCCAGGCAAGGAUUGCUGUGGAGCAAAUGCCUGCCUUGGGCAAUAAAGACUCCGCAUCUCUGUCCCCGUUGUCGCCAGUCAAGAGACGAGACGCAGCUCAAGCUCUCUUCUGUGUCUCUCUUUCCCUCUCUCUCCCUCUUCCUCUGCCAUGGCUUUGUGUGAC